GUAGGUGGCAAGCGUUGUCCGGAAUUAUUGGGCGUAAAGCGCGCGCGGGCGGUCCUUUAAGUCUGAUGUGAAAGCCCACGGCUCAACCGUGGAGGGUCAUUGGAAACUGGGGGACUUGAGUACAGAAGAGGAAAGCGGAAUUCCACGUGUAGCGGUGAAAUGCGUAGAGAUGUGGAGGAACACCAGUGGCGAAGGCGGCUUUCUGGUCUGUAACUGACGCUGAGGCGCGAAAGCGUGGGGAGCAAACAGGAUUAGAUACCCUGGUAGUCCACGCCGUAAACGAUGAGUGCUAAGUGUUAGGGGGUUUCCCGCCCCCUUAGUGCUGCAGCUAACGCAUUAAGCACUCCGCCUGGGGAGUACGGCCGCAAGGCUG
rnacentral:rRNA from 1 species